GACGAACGCUGGCGGCGCGCUUAACACAUGCCAGUCGAACGGAAAGGCCUGCUUUCCCUUGUGGAUUGCGGGUACUCGAGUGGCGAACGGGUGAGUAACACGUGAGUGAUCUGCCCCCAACUUGGGUAUAAGCCUGGGAAACUGGGUCUAAUUCCCGAUAGGACUGCAGGGUGGUGCCUGUGGUGGAAAACGAUUUUCUAGUGGUUGGGGAUGAGCUCGCGGCCUAUCAGCUUGUUGGUGGGGUAAUGGCCUACCAAGGCGGCGACGGGUAGCCGGCCUGAGAGGGUGGACGGCCACAUUGGGACUGAGAGACGGCCCAGACUCCUACGGGAGGCAGCAGUGGGGAAUAUUGCACAAUGGGCGGAAGCCUGAUGCAGCGACGCCGCGUGGGGGAUGACGGCCUUCGGGUUGUAAACUCCUUUCGACCGCGAGGAAGCCACCUGGUUGGAAGGGUGGUGACGGUAGUGGUAGAAGAAGCACCGGCUAACUACGUG
rnacentral:rRNA from 1 species